rnacentral:rRNA from 1 species
CAAAGGAAUUGACGGGGCCCGCACAAGCGGAGGAACAUGUGGUUUAAUUCGAUGAUACGCGAGGAACCUUACCUGGGCUUAAAUGUAGAGUGCAUGAUGUGGAAACAUGUCUUCCCUUCGGGGCUCUCUGCAAGGUGCUGCAUGGUUGUCGUCAGCUCGUGCCGUGAGGUGUCGGGUUAAGUCCCAUAACGAGCGCAACCCUUAUCGUUAGUUGCCAGCGGGUAAUGCCGGGAACUCUAACGAAACUGCCGGUGUAAACCGAGAGGAAGGUGGGAUGACGUCAAAUCAGCACGGCCCUUAUGUCCAGGGCUACACACGUGUUACAAUGGCCGGUACAGAGGGCAGCUACCUGGAGACAGGAUGCGAAUCUCGAAAGCCGGUCUCAGUUCGGAUCGGAGUCUGCAACUCGACUCCGUGAAGCUGGAUUCGCUAGUAAUCGCGCAUCAGCCAUGGCGCGGUGAAUACGUUCCCGGGCCUU